CCUCUUUCCCGAUCAUAGUGGAGGCUAUCCAUCGCUGAGGUCCAUGCCCUAGUUUUGCCAUCGCCGCCGCUCUCCCUCACGACCUGGUCAUGUUGUCUUGCCGAACGACGACGCAUUGACACCAACCUUCUGCGUGAGAUCCUCCAGUGAGGCAUCGGCUAUCGCCAUCGCGGGAGGCGACGCUGUCAGCUUGAUGAUGCUGCCCAUCUCCCGAUUUCUUCCUGUUGUCUCCUGAUCUAUCAUCACCGAUGACCAAGCGAAUGCCUUCGGUAUUCCUUGAUCCAUUGCCGUUCAAUCUUGUUGGAUCUAUGCUCAAGGUCACCUCUCGAUCUCUUCUUCUUUGAUCGAUUUUUGCUGUGAGUAUGUGUUGGGUGUCACAGAUCACUGGAAUAUCUGAUUCUAGCCAUUCCCUGGCUUGACGAGGAAUUUCUUGCCACAAGAAGGGUUAAGACUGGAUAGGGCCACCAAUUUUGGUAGAGGUCAUCAGUUUCCUGUCUCUCACAGUUGCAAUUAGAGAGGAAGUUACUUUGGAUUUAGAUUAAGGUAAGGUAUGUUCAGUACCUAAUUAAUAGAGAAUUUGUUCUGUUGCUGCA